AGGAGAAUGAGGACCAGGCGGGAGCUGGAGCCCAAGAGCCCAAAGCCACCUGUCCCUCCUGCCCUGGACCCAAACAGCAAUGGCAGCCAGCAGCCUGCCGCUGUGACCUCCGACCCUGCCGAUGUCCCUGUGGAGACUCGGUGACCCUGCCUUGGUGCCAUCCCUGCCUGUGCAAAGAGCUCGUAUGACCUGAAAGUCCACUCUGCUGGCAGCUUCACCGAGUCCUUUCUGGUUGGGUAAACUGAGGCACGUUUCAUACAGCCCCUGCAGCUUGAAGCCUUCCUCACCUACAUUGUGCUCUGGCCAUCCCAGCUUUGUCCGUGUUCCUGCUGCCACUCAACCAAAGCUCUGAGGACAUUCUUUUGUUAUCUGAUGAGAAGCACUGUGCUGGGGAGACUGGUGUGAGUCUGGUUCUUGCCUCACAGGUGCUACAGCUCGACAGACAGACAGACAGACAGACAGACAGACAGACACCUGAGUCUUCUGGUCAGGGUCAGGAGUGUUAAUGAGAGAAUGUCACCCAAGGAGCCACUGGGAGCAUCUCAGCUUAAGGGCAUGUCCACAACUUCCUCAAUCCCAUAGCCAGGUGCAGGGAAACUAACUUGGGCUAACUAACCACAAAACCAACUUGGUAACAUCUAACUGUCCCAGUACUAGAUGGCUGGUCAGCGUUCUCCCCCUUGAACAAAGGGUACAAGAGGCUGGACUUGGUGGCACAUGCCUGCCAUCACGGUGCUCAGUGAAAGCAGGAACGCUGUGAUUACAAGACCAUCUUUGACCACAUUGCAAAGAUGUUUCUUUAAAAAAAAAUACAGAAUAAACACUAUUCUUCAAAACCUCUACUUCAUUAGUAGUUAGAAAGAAGAGGUACCCCGAGGAGCAGAGGCUAGCUCAAAGAUGAGAGGCAGAGGCUAGCUCAAGGAUGAGAAGCAGAGGCUAGCUCAAGGAUGAGGAGCAGAGGCUAGCUCAAGGAUGAGAGGCAGAGGCUAGCUCAAGGAUGAGAGGCAGAGGCUAGCUCAAGGAUGAGGAGCAGAGGCUAGCUCAAGGAUGAGGAGCAGAAGCUAGCUCAAAGAUGAGGAGCAGAGGCUAGCUGAAGGAUGAGAGGCAGAGGCUAGCUCAAGGAUGAAAGGCAGAGGCUAGCUGUACGAUAGGAAUUGCUCCAUUGCCCAUGGGCCUGGGCUGUGGUAACUGCUCAGGACCCUUUCUGCUGCCCCAGGUGGACUACCCUGACCCCUCAUUUUCUGGCUCCCUUUUAUUUGGAUGCUAAGCUUCCCUGGCAGUCCUCUUGCCUCUGGGGACAAGUAUUUGGAACCCAUUAAAUCUUGUAUUUCCUGCA
rnacentral:lncRNA from 1 species